rnacentral:rRNA from 1 species
GACGAACGCUGGCGGCGUGCUUAACACAUGCAAGUCGAACGGGCCUUGUCCCCUUUUUUUUGGGGGUGGGGUUAGUGGCGAACGGGUGAGUAACACGUGAGUAACCUGCCCCUCACUUCUGGAUAACCGCUUGAAAGGGUGGCUAAUACGGGGUGUUCUGGCCUGCUCGCAUGGGUGGGUUUGGAAAGAUUCGACCGGUUUUGGUUGUUUUGGUGGGGGAUGGGCUCGCGGCCUAUCAGCUUGUUGGUGGGGUGAUGGCCUGCCAAGGCUUUGACGGGUAGCCGGCCUGAGAGGGUGGGCGGUCACACUGGGACUGAGACACGGCCCAGACUCCUACGGGAGGCAGCAGUGGAGAAUAGUGCACAAUGGGCGCAAGCCUGAUGCAGCGACGCCGCGUGAGGGAUGGAGGCCUUCGGGUUGUGAACCUCUUUCGCCAGUGAAGAAGGUCCUGCUCUUUGUGGUGGGGUUGACGGUAGCUGGGUUAAUGAAGCGCCGGCUAACUACGUG